GAUGAACGCUGGCGGCGUGCUUAACACAUGCAAGUCGAACGGAAAGGCCCAAGCUUGCUUGGGUACUCGAGUGGCGAACGGGUGAGUAACACGUGGGUGAUCUGCCCUGCACUUCGGGAUAAGCCUGGGAAACUGGGUCUAAUACCGGAUAGGACCACUUCUUGGAUGUUGUGGUGGAAAGUUUUUUCGGUGUGGGAUGAGCUCGCGGCCUAUCAGCUUGUUGGUGGGGUAAUGGCCUACCAAGGCGUCGACGGGUAGCCGGCCUGAGAGGGUGUACGGCUGUAUUAGAGCGGAGAUUAGGCCCAGAGUCCGACGGGGGGCAGCAGUGGGGAAUAUUGCACAAUGGACGCAAGCCUGAUGCAGCGACGCCGCGUGGGGGAUGACGGUCUUCUGGUUGAAGACUACUUUCGCUAGGGACGAAGCGUUUUGUGACGGUACCUAGAGAAAAAGCACCGGCUAACUACGUG
rnacentral:rRNA from 1 species